rnacentral:rRNA from 1 species
GACGAACGCUGGCGGCGUGCUUAACACAUGCAAGUCGAACGGAAAGGCCCUGCUUGCAGGGUACUCGAGUGGCGAACGGGUGAGUAACACGUGGGUGAUCUGCCCUGCACUUCGGGAUAAGCAUGGGAAACUGGGUCUAAUACCUGACAGGUGCUAUCUUGAGCGUGGUGGUUGGAAAGUUUUUUCGGUGUAGGAUGAGCUCGCGGCCUAUCAGCUUGUUGGUGGGGUAAUGGCCUACCAAGGCGGCGACGGGUAGCCGGCCUGAGGGGGUGUACGGACACAUUGGACCUGUGCUACGGCCCGCACUACUGCGUCAGGCGGCAGGGGGGAAUGUUGGACAAUGGGCGGAAGCCUGAUGCAGGGACGCCGCGUGGGGGAUGAAGGCCUUCGGGUUGUAAGCUCCUUUCGCUAGGGACGAAGCUUUUUUGUGACGGUACCUAGAUAAGAAGCACCGGCUAACUACGUG